rnacentral:lncRNA from 1 species
UUCCUAAACAGUAGAGUUCACAUCUUUUUCUGCUAAGUUCUUCCACAAGCUGGCAAAGGAUCCAAGAUGUAGCCUGGCAUUUAUCUUUGUUCUCUUUGCCACUCUCAUGGAAAUAUGGUGAAUGCAGUCCGUUCUUAACGGUCGUAUUUAGCCUCGGUUCUGUGAAUUCGAUUUUCUUUUCCUUUUUAAAGGCGAUAGAGUGGGAUCCAAUAGACGUUGGAGCUGACUCUGAGCUUUUUUGACUUGUACGUGUCACAUCUGAAGGCAAGUUCCCUCGUGCUGGAUGAAAGCUAAAAGGCUGGGUGCCCGGUUUACCAUCAGCUCAGGGCAGAAUAAUGAUGCGAGGCCUGACAUUUAAUACACCAGUGAUCCCAGAUAUUGCUGCUGAAAGCUUUCUCCACAAAGCAGGAACCAGAAGAACCUUACGGCAGUGUCUGACUUUAAUUCACAAGUGAGGGAGCCGUGAGUUGGUUUCGACAACCACUAAGGGACAUUACUAAGGCUCUGCUUCAAACCAAUACCGUGAUUGUUAAAGUUUCAAAUGUGUAUUUCAUAAGCAAUUGUUGCUAAGGAUUUUUUGUUGAAAAGAUAAAAAGUAUUAUUUGUUAAGUAUCAUCCUUAUCAUGACAUCAAUAUACUGAAUAUGGCUUCCACUUUUUCCAGGGCAUUGAGAAGGCCUGAGCUUCUCAAGGUCAUGGCCACCCCAUUCCCUUCCAGUGUUCUAACACUGCUAGGACUAUAGGCUGUGCACAGAGAGUAUUUGCUAAAUAGACAAG